AUGGCCACCACACAUGUGAAAAGAUGCUCAACAUCUCUAAUCAUCAAGGGAAAUGCAAAUCAAAACCACAAUAGCACAAUGAAAUAUCAUUUCAGACCCCAUGUGAUGUUAGGAUGGCUACUUUCAAAAAAACAGAAAAUAAGUGUUGGUAAGGAAACACCUGCACACUGUUGAUGGGAUUAUAAAAUGGGCAGCCACUAUGGAAAAUAGUAUGGAGGUUCCAUAAAAAACUGAAAUUAGAAUUCCCAUAUGAUCCAAUCAUCUCCUACUGCAUAUAUAUCCAAAAGAAUUGAAAGCAGGAUCUUGAAAAGAUAUCUGCUCUCCUAUGUUCAUGCAGCAUUAUUCACAACAGCCAAGAUGUAGAGGUGAUUCAAAUGUCCAUCAGUGAAUGAAUAGAUAAAGAAAUGUGGCAUAUACAUACAAUGGAAUCUUAGCAUAAAAAAGAAAGAAUUCCUGUCAUAUGCUACAGCAUAGAUGAACCUUGAGGACCUUAUAGAGUGGUCCUAAUCUGCAUAUCCAAGAGCAAUGUAUGUGAGCCUACGUUUCCACAGGCUCACCCACAGAAUGUGUGCUCAAACUUUUGGAUUUUUGCCCAUCUACUAGAUCCCACCCCACAGGCCUUGGAAGCCUGAGGCAGUAUUCUUCUGGGAUAUUUCCAACUAGGCUUCCCAUGAGC
rnacentral:antisense_RNA from 1 species